UCACUUAAAAUCUUUACUAAAUUCUAGAUUUGGUUUUGAAGUUUGGUUCUACCUGUAGAAAACUUAUUUCCAACGGGAUAGCACAUCCUCAUUUUUACGGAGAUGUUGUUUACCGUGCCAUUGGAUGCUGGAUGUGUAAUGAUUGAUAAUUUAGUCUCAGAUGCAUUACUUUUUAUUAGUUGUAAUUGGCUUUGAACUAGCUGUCAGUAACUGCGAGUACUCUCAGAUCUGUACUGAGUGUCUUUUUUUUUAUGGGAUGUACAAGUACUCGGUCACGUCAACUCUCUGUUUUUGUUAGAUGUAUUUCUAUUUGUAUCCAUCUGAUGAGUUAAGCCUUUU
rnacentral:lncRNA from 1 species